rnacentral:snRNA from 1 species
AUACUUACCUGGCAGGGGAGAUACCAUGAUCACGAAGGUGGUUUUCCCAGGGCGAGGCUUAUCCAUUGCACUCCGGAUGUGCUGACCCCUGCGAUUUCCCCAAAUGUGGGAAACUCGACUGCAUAAUUUGUGGUAGUGGGGGACUGCGUUCGCACUUUCCCCUG